AUACGUAGGGGGCAAGCGUUAUCCGGAUUUACUGGGUGUAAAGGGAGCGUAGACGGAAGGCCAAGUCUGAUGUGAAAGCCCGCGGCUCAACUGCGGGACUGCAUUGGAAACUGGUCAUCUGGAGUGCAGGAGGGGUAAGCGGAAUUCCUAGUGUAGCGGUAAAAUGCGCAGAUAUUAGGAAGAACACCGGUGGCGAAGGCGGCUAUCUGGACAGUAACUGACGCUGAGGCGCGAAAGCGUGGGGAGCAAACAGGAUUAGAUACCCUGGUAGUCCACGCUGUAAACGAUGAAUACUAGGUGUGGGGGGACUGACCCCCUCCGUGCCGCAGUUAACACAAUAAGUAUUCCACCUGGGGAGUACGAUCGCAAGAUUGAAACUCAAAGGAAUUGACGGGG
rnacentral:rRNA from 1 species